ACUAUUUUGACAGAAAAAUGUGAUGAUUUUAGAAUUCAUUUAUAUAUAAUUAUAUUAUAUAGAUAGUA
rnacentral:tRNA from 1 species